GUUUGCAGGUCGCAGACUCCAAGAUUCCAGAAGGCGCGAGGCUCCGGGGUGGUGGCGGUGGGGAACCCUGGGGCUGGAGCUCCCAGUUGGGAGGACCCGCUUCCUGGCGAAAUGCCAUCCUCUGCCUAGGACCAGCUGAACACACAGGGCUAACAGGCUGCUAACCUUCUCUACUUGUCUGUACAGAGGGAAGACCAUAUGAAGACACAAUAAGGUGCCCAUCUGCAAGCCAAGGAGAGAGACUGCAGAAGAAACCAAACCUUCUGACAUCUUGAUCUUGGACUUCUAUCUUCCAAAAAUUAACCGGAGCCACUGCAGUCAGAUUAUUAACUCAUUGUGCCAUGGCAGGAACCCUGGGCUCUACCUUUUAAAGAUCCCUAUUUUCACUCAUUAUUAGAGAGCUGAAUUCUAAAUCAAAGAUUGUGGAGAAGAGAUGUGCAACCUGAAUAAAACAUUUCCAGAAGAGACUGAAUAAUGGUCCUGAAUAAAGGGAACUGAAAUGUUCUUGAAUUGUAAUUGGAAAAAACUCAAGUGUGUGUACUCAGGAGCACAUGUACUAAGAAGAGGUUAGUUAUUAUUAUUCUUAGUGCUGUUUAACAUCUCUGGGGCCCUGAUAGUAUUUUUAGUUCUGAAUUGAACACAAGUGGUCUGAUGAGUGAUCUCCCAUCCAAAUUAUCCAUGUGGAGAUCACCUGUAAUCAUUCUCUGUGCAGAGAGAGCAGCUCUGAUAAGCAACCCCAGAGCAGGUGGACUCUUUAUGCAGCAGUGUAAUCUAACCCACAGCAAACUAAAGUGAUUAGUUCAGACAAAUAGAGCCUUUGAAAAUAACAUUUGACACUUUCUACUCUUACCUGAUUUCUCCAUAGUGGGACAUUCACAAGUUAGUAAACACAUUUGUUAGACUCAGACAAACUUGCUGAGAUAUUGAAGAAGGAAGUACAGGUAGAUUGAGGAUGACUGAAGAUUAGGGUCAAUCUCUGCCCUCAAGGAUUUUAUGCUCCGCAAAUAAGCAAUGGAAGGUCUUUUUUUCUUUGUCUCAUAUAAAAAAUGCAGAAAAAACAGUGAAAUCUACUUUUGAGAAACUGUAUCUGAUACUUAAUUCUGAAAAACUGUAUUAAAAAAAAUUCUGAAGUGAUGAAUAUUAUUGUCCAGAGGAAAUUAAAAAUAGAGUAUAAUCAUGAUAAUUAAAUGUUAUAUGGAAUUGAGAAAGGUAGGUGAGUCAUAAUAGAAUCUAUAAGAUUGAAUACAUGUUUCUAUGUGUAAAUUUCUGUGCUGGUUACUUUACAUGUACAAAGGAAGAACUGGUCCCACCCACCCAUAAGAAGGAAAUAAACAUCCACCAGUAAUUUUAAUAUAGGGAACACUUGGAAUUUUAAACUAAGAAGUACAGGGUUUAUUCUUGAGGCAUUGGGGAGCUGUUGAAAAUUUUUGAGCAGGUGAGUGACAUGUCCAGAAUUGCGUUUUAUGAAGAUUAACCUGAUGGCAUUUUCAGGAUUGAUUAGCAUGAAGCCUGUAUUGUGACAGAACAGAUUGUGAUAAUGCAAGUCUGAAAUAUGGUGGUGGCAAUGAGAAUAGAAAGGAAGAAAUUGAUUUGAAAGAUCCAUGACAAUAGUACUACGGGACUUGAUUAUUAAAUAUGGGACCUGAAGGAGGGAGACGUCAGAGAUGACUCUAGACACUUUGAGCCUGAGAAGAGAAAUCAAGUAUGGAAGAGAAAGAAUGCCCUGUCACUGGUUUAUUAUUAUCUCCUGGAUGCUAUGAAUCAUGUAAUCUAUGGCAUUUAAAAAUCAUGGGUCCAAAUCCAUGUACCACAUCUACUCAUUAGACUGUGUCAUCCUGGCAUAUAUUUUUUUUUGCAUCAUGAUCCAUUGCCAACCAUAGAUUUUAAAUUACUACAAUACAGUGUGUGGCAAAACUGUGGUUGACUAGACUAAGAGAAAAGAAAUAUCUUUUUUUGCAUUUUUAGUAAGUCUCAGGCAAAUGCUUGAAUAACUACUUGGCAUGUUCACAAAUUAUGAAGAUCCUGAAGGGCAUGCAUUUCUACUUUUCUAUUCACAUGAGAGCAUGGGGUUUAAAUAGAUGCCUUUUAUUGAAGCAUCCCCUAGACUCAUGUAAGUUGUCCAGAAAA